rnacentral:rRNA from 1 species
UCUCACUCUAGGCGAGACUGCCGUUGACAAAACGGAGGAAGGUGGGGACGACGUCAAAUCAUCAUGCCCCUUAUGUCCUGGGCUACACACGUAAUACAAUGGCGGUCAACAGAGGGAUGCAAAGCCGCGAGGCAGAGCGAACCCCUAAAAGCCGUCCCAGUUCGGAUCGCAGGCUGCAACCCGCCUGCGUGAAGUCGGAAUCGCUAGUAAUCGUGGAUCAGCAUGCCGCGGUGAAUACGUUCCCGGGCCUUGUACACACCGCCCGUCACACCAUGAGAGUCGGGAACACCCGAAGUCCGUAGCCUAACCGCAAGGAGGGCGCGGCCGAAGGUGGGUUCGAUAAUUGGGGUGAAGUCGUAACAAGGGUAACCGUAAA